rnacentral:rRNA from 1 species
GCCUACGGGCGGCAGCAGUGGGGAAUCUUAGACAAUGGGGGAAACCCUGAUCUAGCCAUGCCGCGUGAGCGAUGAAGGCCUUAGGGUUGUAAAGCUCUUUCAGAUGGGAAGAUAAUGACGGUACCAUCAGAAGAAGCCCCGGCUAACUCCGUGCCAGCAGCCGCGGUAAUACGGAGGGGGCUAGCGUUGUUCGGAAUUACUGGGCGUAAAGCGCGCGUAGGCGGAUUGGAAAGUUGGGGGUGAAAUCCCGGGGCUCAACCUCGGAACUGCCUUCAAAACUCCCAGUCUUGAGUUCGAGAGAGGUGAGUGGAAUUCCGAGUGUAGAGGUGAAAUUCGUAGAUAUUCGGAGGAACACCAGUGGCGAAGGCGGCUCACUGGCUCGAUACUGACGCUGAGGUGCGAAAGCGUGGGGAGCAAACAGGAUUAGAUACCCCGGUAGUC